UUGGUGUGUGGUACUACAU
rnacentral:siRNA from 1 species